UACAGAGGUCUCAAGCGUUUGUUCGGAUUCAUUGGGCGUAAAGGGUGUGUAGGUGGCGCGCUAAGUCGGGUGUGAAAUUUCGGAGCUUAACUCCGAAACUGCAUUCGAUACUGGCGUGCUUGAGGACUGGAGAGGAGACUGGAAUUCAUGGUGUAGCAGUGAAAUGUGUAGAGAUCAUGAGGAAGACCAGUGGCGAAGGCGGGUCUCUGGACAGUUCCUGACACUGAGACACGAAGGCCAGGGGAGCAAACGGG
rnacentral:rRNA from 1 species